rnacentral:lncRNA from 1 species
CUUACUCUUCAGCUAAAGUUUUCCACAGACCAAAGGCAGGCACAGGACAAGAGGAGCAAGGACCGUAGGGUCCUGCUCUGUUUCUUCAUCAUACUUUGGGAGGUAGCAAGAGUUCUUUAUGGGUGCCUCUCACUGAGUCAUCUAGAAUGUUAAAAAGCUGUGUACUCAUGAUUGAGCAUAAUCAUAUUUUAAUAUUUUUGACUUCACAAUCAAGGGCAUUCUUACAGGAACAUGGCCUUUUCCAUUUUCAUUGCAAGUGAAAACUACAGUGACGGCUGGUCUGGUUUGCUGCCCCUGCCUUGAUUAGUUCUGAGGCAGUGGUAGCUUUACCAACUGUUGCUCUGUAUCACCAGUGUGGAUAACAUGGUGAAAGACAAACUACAAGUUAGUGUUACUAGAAAAUAGUUUUGACCUUGAGGACCCACUGAAUCCUUUCAAGGACUCCCAAGAUCUCUGUAUCAGACUUUGAGAACUACCUCUCGUGUGAGUAUAUUCUCUGAAUGACACAUCGUUCUUAGUAACCCAGAAGCAUAGUCUUAACAGAAGCUGUUGGGAGAUUUAAGGAUUGGGAAAUUCAAGAUCUCAGCUGGCCUUCCAUCUCAUAUCGGAUAAACUACCAGACCAAGAGCCCAGAGUCUUUAAAGCUCCCCAGAUACUCAGGUUCUAGGAUGAAAGUCUGAAUGAAGGUAGGAUGAGGAUGGCAGAAGAAACACAUGGGGAGUGGUGGCCAAUUCUACCUGGUGGGAGCAAGAAAGGUUAUACUUAUGCUGAGUCCUGAAAAUCGAGCCUGUUUGCCAGGCCACCAAAAUCAGGUUGUUUCAUCAUGUGCUUGGAUUAUUCUGGUUGAUAAUAUUCUGGAUUCUUUUAAUAGUCUCCACUUUUGAAACACACAGCAGGAUCUUUGCAUACAGCCCCAUUCCCUGGCUAUCGCAGCCAGUCAGAGAUCAUGCCCCACCCUGGAAGUGCUGCUGUGCGGCCUGCAUAAGCAUCUACCACUGGCAAUAGUAACAGUGACAGGCAGCGGUCAUAGCUGCUACCCUGUCUCUAGGCAACCUCCUCAUCUGGCCCAUCAGCCUAUUGAGUUUGGGAUUGUGGAGUACAAC